rnacentral:rRNA from 1 species
CCUACGGGUGGCAGCAGUGAGGAAUAUUGGUCAAUGGACGCGAGUCUGAACCAGCCAAGUAGCGUGAAGGAUGACUGCCCUAUGGGUUGUAAACUUCUUUUAUAUGGGAAUAAAAUGUUCCACGUGUGGCAUUUUGUAUGUACUUUAUGAAUAAGGAUCGGCUAACUCCGUGCCAGCAGCCGCGGUAAUACGGAGGAUCCGAGCGUUAUCCGGAUUUAUUGGGUUUAAAGGGAGCGUAGGUGGAUUGUUAAGUCAGUUGUGAAAGUUUGCGGCUCAACCGUAAAAUUGCAAUUGAUACUGGCAGUCUUGAGUACAGUAGAGGUGGGCGGAAUUCGUGGUGUAGCGGUGAAAUGCUUAGAUAUCACGAAGAACUCCGAUUGCGAAGGCAGCUCACUAAACUGCCACUGACAUUGAUGCUCGAAAGUGUGGGUAUCAAACAGGAUUAGAUACCCGUGUAGUC